rnacentral:rRNA from 1 species
CCUACGGGGGGCUGCAGUGGGGAAUAUUGCACAAUGGGCGCAAGCCUGAUGCAGCCAUGCCGCGUGUGUGAAGAAGGCCUUCGGGUUGUAAAGCACUUUCAGCGGGGAGGAAGGCGGUGAGGUUAAUAACCUCAUCGAUUGACGUUACCCGCAGAAGAAGCACCGGCUAACUCCGUGCCAGCAGCCGCGGUAAUACGGAGGGUGCAAGCGUUAAUCGGAAUUACUGGGCGUAAAGCGCACGCAGGCGGUCUGUCAAGUCGGAUGUGAAAUCCCCGGGCUCAACCUGGGAACUGCAUUCGGAACUGGCAGGCUAGAGUCUUGUAGAGGGGGGUAGAAUUCCAGGUGUAGCGGUGAAAUGCGUAGAGAUCUGGAGGAAUACCGGUGGCGAAGGCGGCCCCCUGGACAAAGACUGACGCUCAGGUGCGAAAGCGUGGGGAGCAAACAGGAUUAGAUACCCCUGUAGUC